GAUGAAGAACGUAGCGAAAUGCGAUAGGUAAUGUGAAUUGCAGAAUUCAGUGAAUCAUCGAAUCUUUGAACGCACAUUGCGCCCUUUGGUAUUCCAUGGGGCAUGCCUGUUCGAGCGUCAUUUGUACCUUCAAGCUUUGCUUGGUGUUGGGUGUUUGUCUCGCCUUUGCGUGUAGACUCGCCUUAAAAUAAUUGGCAGCCGGCGUAUUGAUUUCGGAGCGCAGUACAUCUCGCGCUUUGCACUCAUAACGACAGCGUCCAAAAGUACAUUUUACACUCUUGACCUCGGAUCAGGUAGGGAUACCCGCUGAACUUAAGCAUAUCAAUAAGCGGAGGA
rnacentral:misc_RNA from 1 species